GCAGAAGUCUCUGGGAAGGCAGGUGUGGUCUAGAAGAUGAGGCUGCUGGGUCUUGUCCUGUGCCUGGUCACAGCUCCCCAAGGUGUCCUGUGCCAGGUGCAGCUGCAGGAGUCAGGACCUGGCCUGGUGAAGCCCUCGCAGACCCUGUCCCUCACCUGUGCUGUCUCUGGUUACUCCAUCACCAGUGGUUACUGCUGGAACUGGAUCCAUCAGCCCCCAGGGAAGGGGCUGGAGUGGAUAGGGGACAUAUGUUAUAGUGGUAACACUUACUACAGUCCAUCCCUCAAGAGCCGAGUGUCCAUCUCCAGAGACACGUCCAAGAACCAGUUCUCCCUGCAGCUGAGCUCCCUGACCUCUGAGGACACGGCCACCUAUUACUGUGCCAGAGACACAGUGAGGGGACCUCAGUGUUGUGAAAAGGUGGUGGGUGUGGUGAAGGACUUCCCAGAUAUGAAGCACCUGGACGUUUCUCUCAUGUGGACUCUGCUGCUGGAUGAAGAGCUGCUCUACCUGGGCUUCUACCCAGAGCUGCUAUAG